rnacentral:rRNA from 1 species
GAAAUUUGGAUUAAUACCCUAUAGUAUCUUUUUAAGGCAUCUUAUUAAGAUUAAAGGUUACGGUAUGAGAUGAGUAUGCGUUCUAUUAGCUAGUAGGUGUGGUAACGGCACACCUAGGCUACGAUAGAUAGGGGCCCUGAGAGGGGGAUCCCCCACACUGGUACUGAGACAGGACCAGACUCCUACGGGAGGCAGCAGUGAGGAAUAUUGGACAAUGGAGGCAACUCUGAUCCAGCCAUGCCGCGUGCAGGAAGACUGCCCUAUGGGUUGUAAACUGCUUUUAUACAGGAAGAAACAGCUUUACGUG